rnacentral:rRNA from 1 species
GACGAACGCUGGCGGCGUGCUUAACACAUGCAAGUCGAACGGAAAGGCCCUGCUUUUGUGGGGUGCUCGAGUGGCGAACGGGUGAGUAACACGUGAGUAACCUGCCCUUGACUUUGGGAUAACUUCAGGAAACUGGGGCUAAUACCGGAUAGGAGCUCCUGCUGCAUGGUGGGGGUUGGAAAGUUUCGGCGGUUGGGGAUGGACUCGCGGCUUAUCAGCUUGUUGGUGGGGUAGUGGCUUACCAAGGCUUUGACGGGUAGCCGGCCUGAGAGGGUGACCGGCAACAUGGGGACUGAGAAACGGCCCAGACUCCUAAGGGAGGCAGCAGGGGGGAAUAUUGCCCAAUGGGGGGAAGCCUGAUGCAGCAACGCCGCGGGGGGGAUGACGGCCUUCGGGUUGGAAACCGAUUUCGCCUGUGACGAAGCGUGAGUGACGGUAAUGGGUAAAGAAGCCCCGGCUGACUACGU